GGUGUCACCCUGACCGCAAGGCUACAGAAGACUGGACAGUCUUUUAUCCCGGGAGAAAAAUAUGGGAUCCUUUGGAAAGAGAGGAAGGGCAUCUCAGGAGGAGGGACAAGGAUGGAGAUGCAUCCCUCUGCCAUCCUGCCUCGAGCACUGCCGCACGCGGGAGCCGAGGCCCGAAGCAGGCAGCCAGACAGGGCAGCAGAUGUUUGCCACAGCAGAGUCAAGGGCCUGGGACGCUGUGUGGAGGCAGCAGCUGCGGCUGCAGCAGGC